rnacentral:tRNA from 1 species
CAGAAAAUAGUUUAAUAAAAAUAUUAACUUUGGGAGUUAAUGAUAAAAUAUUUAUUUUUUUUCUGA